AGUGCGUCAGGUGGAUGCCUAGGCACCGAGAGGCGAUGAAGGACGUGGAAGGCUGCGAAAAGCCCGGUGGAGCCGUCAAGCAGGCUGUGAUUCCGGGAUGUCCGAAUGGGGAAACCCGGCGGGGGUCAUACCUCGUCACCGCGUAAGCGGAGCCAACCAGGGGAACUGAAACAUCUAAGUACCCUGAGGAAUAGAAAACAACAGUGACUCCCUCAGUAGCGGCGAGCGAACGGGGAUCAGCCCAAACCAGUGCAGUGCCAAGGUUACGGCCGUUGCUGCAUCGGUGUUGUGGGACCUACUGGGUUAACCGUAAAAAGACCCAGGGAGUUACAAAGUGUGUGUCUAGGCGAAUGGCAUGGGAAGGCCAGCCGCAGAAGGUGAAAGCCCUGUAACCGAAAGAUACACACCUCCCGUAGCAAUCCCAAGUAGCGCCAGACACGUGAAACCUGGUGUGAAUCUGGGGGGACCACCCCCUAAGGCUAAGUACUCCUGGACAACCGAUAGCGUAAUAGUAGCGCGAGCGAAAGGUGAAAAGUCCCCCGGUUAGGGGAGUGAAAUAGUACCUGAAACCAUUUACUUACAAGCGGUCGGAGGCCUAUGGCCCUUAGGGGCAAUGGCUGACGGCGUGCCUUUUGCAUAAUGAUCCGGCGAGUUACUCUGUACGGCAAGGCUAAACGUCUCAGGCGUGUAACCGAAGGGAAACCGAGUGUGAAUAGCGCGAUUAUAGUCGUGCGGAGUAGACCCGAAAGCGAGUGAUCUAUCCAUGGGCAGGCUGAAGCGGAUGUAACAGUCCGUGGAGGGCCGAACGGGUAUAGGUUGAAAACUGUUCCGAUGACCUGUGGAUAGGAGUGAAAGGCUAAUCAAACUCGCAGAUAGCUGGUUCUCCCCGAAAUAGCUUUUGGGCUAGCCUCUGGUAAUAGUCGAUGGGGGUAGAGCUACUGAUUGGGAUAGGGGCCCGAUAGGGUACCCUACCUAACCAAACUCCGAAUACCGUCGACCGUAUCCAGGGAGUCAGACUAUGGGCGAUAAGGUCCGUGGUCGAGAGGGAAACAACCCAGACCGCCAGCUAAGGUCCCGAAUGUGUGCUAAGUGCAGAGAAGGAAGUAAGUCCUCUAGGACAGCCAGGAUGUUGGCUUAGAAGCAGCCAUCAUUUAAAGAGUGCGUAACAGCUCACUGGUCGAGAGGUCUUGCGCCGAAAAUGAACGGGGCUCAAGCAUACAACCGAAGCUGCGGCUUGUUCGAGAUCGCUGAUCUCGGGCAGGGGUAGGGGAGCGUUCCCGGUGAGUGAAGGGUGACGGUAACGACACCUGGACGCCGAGGAAGCGAUUAUGCCGGAAUGAGUAGCGAUAAAGCAGGUGAGAAUCCUGCUCGCCGAAAACCCAAGGUUUCCUGGGCACGGUAGAUCCGCCCAGGGUUAGUCGGGCCCUAAGACGAGGCCGAAAGGCGUAGUCGAUGGAUGACAGGCGAAUAUUCCUGUACCACCAGUGACGCGUUACUACCGAUGGGGGGACGCGGAAGGAAAGGUGAUCGCACUGACAGAAUAGUGCGUGCAAGCUCGAGGGUGGCAUGUAGGUAAAUCCGCAUGCGGAAGCCCGGAAGUGAUGCCGAGGCAAUUAUGCUGAAGUCAUUGGACUGACCGCCUAGAAAAGCCUCUAGGGAGUGUUGCUGGUGUCCGUACCAAAACUGACACAGGUGGGUAAGGUGAAGAUCCUAAGGCGCUCGAGAGAACUGUUGUUAAGGAACUCGGCAAAUUGACCCUGUAACUUCGGGAUAAAGGGUGCCCUUUGGGGUGAAGACCUUCGCGGUCCGAGCUCCGGGGGGCCGCAGAGAAUCGGUCCAAGCGACUGUUUACUAAAAACACAGGUCUGUGCUAAGUCUUAAAGACGCCGUAUACAGACUGACGCCUGCCCAAUGCCGGAAGGUUAAGAGGAGUGGUUAGCUUCGGCGAAGCCGCGAAUUGAAGCCCCGGUGAAUGGCGGCCGUAACUAUGACGGUCCUAAGGUAGCGAAGUUCCUUGUCGGGUAAGUUCCGACCCGCACGAAAGGCGUAACGACUUGGACACUGUCUCAACAACAGGCUCGGCGAAAUUGUAGUCGUGGUGAAGAUGCCACGUUCCCGCGUCAAGACGGAAAGACCCCGUGAACCUUUACUACAGCCUGAUAUUGGGGCUUGUUAUGUAGUGCGUAGCAUAGGUGGGAGGCUUUGAAGCAGGACCUUCGGGUUCGGUGGAGCCAUCAGUGAAAUACCACUCUCUGCAUAAUAGGUCUCUAACGCGAUACCGUGAAUCCGGGUCGCGGACAGUGUCUGGUGGGUAGUUUGGCUGGGGCGGUCUCCUCCUAAAAAGUAACGGAGGAGCGCGAUGGUGGACUCAGUGCGGUUAGCAAUCGCAUGUAGAGCGUAAAGGUAUAAGUCCGCCUGACUGCAAGAGAUAUAGCUCGAGCAGGCACGAAAGUGGGCCUUAGUGAUCCGGCGGAUUCCGAGUGGAAGGGCCGUCGCUCAUCAGAUAAAAGGUACUCCGGGGAUAACAGGCUGAUCUCCCCCAAGAGUUCAUAUCGACGGGGAGGUUUGGCACCUCGAUGUCGGCUCAUCGCAUCCUGG
rnacentral:rRNA from 1 species